UGCUCACUAACAAAGCUGGAAUUUCAAAUAGGACAAAAACAAAAAAUAUUAUUGUGAGAAAAAGUUCUAAGUUUGUCACAACCUAUGGCACUACAACAAUGUAUUUGCAUAACUGGGGAAAGCUUCUCAUAGAAUUAUCUACACAUGCAAUUGUAAGACUUAAAACCUGAUGAACAAAUAAAAAUAAUGGCUCCAGUCUAGACAGAGUACACGCAUUCAUCCUGCAGGGAAUUAUCUACUGUUGCCAAAGAUGCAUCCAAAAUGAAUAUCCAGAGAUCCUAUAACUUCAAAUUAUUUAAAAUCCAUCUGGAGAACGUUCAGGUUUGUAGAUAUAUCAGACAACUAAGAAUACAUGCCAUUAAGUAUUUUGUUUGUUAAAUGAGAAAUAGGAUGCACAGUGUAUUAGGGGAUCUUAUACCAGGACAAAAUCAAUCAUUUACCUAACAAAAAUUGAUAUUGCCCUCAAAGUUAAUACUUCAUAAUCAUAGUCUCUGAAAAUCCACAUGUCAAUGAUUCAUUCCUAAACAUCGUUGGAGCUAAAGAAGCCAACAGUCUAGAAAAGAGCAAAUAAAUAAAACGAGUACCAACACACAUAUGCAUAAACCCAUUGAAACAAACUUGAUUGCUACAAUUCUCAAUUUUUCAUUAUUUAAAGCUGUGAUUAACUACAUGCAGAGAAAACUUCAACUAGCAUACAGA
rnacentral:misc_RNA from 1 species